CCUACGGGUGGCUGCAGUGGGGAAUAUUGCGCAAUGGGCGCAAGCCUGAUCCAGCAACGCCGCGUGAAUGAAGAAGGCUCUCGGUUCGUAAACUUCUAUUCUCAGGGACGAAGUUAGUGACGGUUGCCGAGGAAUACCCCACUGCUAACUACGUGCCAGCCGCCGCGGUAAUACGUAGGUGGCAAGCGUUAUCCGGAUUUACUGGGUGUAAAGGGCGUGUCGGCGGGACUGCAAGUCAGAUGUGAACUCCACGGGCUCAACCUGUGGCCUGCAUUUGAAACUGUACUUCUUGAGUGCUGGAGAGGCAGACGGAAUUCCUAGUGUAGCGGUGAAAUGCGUAGAUAUUAGGAGGAACACCAGUGGCGAAGGCGGUCUGCUGGACAGCAACUGACGCUGAGGCGCGAAAGCGUGGGGAGCAAACAGGAUUAGAUACCCGAGUAGUC
rnacentral:rRNA from 1 species